UACGUAGGGGGCAAGCGUUGUCCGGAUUUAUUGGGCGUAAAGAGCGUGUAGGCGGCCAUUCAGGUCAGCUGUGAAAACUCGAGGCUCAACCUCGAGACGUCGGUUGAAACCAUCUGGCUAGAGUCCGGAAGAGGAGAGUGGAAUUCCCGGUGUAGCGGUGAAAUGCGCAGAUAUCGGGAAGAACACCCGUGGCGAAGGCGGCUCUCUGGGACGGUACUGACGCUGAGACGCGAAAGCGUGGGGAGCGAACAGG
rnacentral:rRNA from 1 species